CGGGCAUCCGCCAUGACGCCUGGCUAAUUUUUGUAUUUUUAGUAGAGACAGGAUUUCACCAUGUUGGCCAGGCUGGUCUCGAGCACCUGACCUCAGGUGAUCCGCCUGCCUUGGCCUCCCAAAGUGCUGGGAUUACAGAUGUGAGCCACCAUGCCUGGCCAGCCUUUAUAGUUCUUAAACAGUCUACAUUUAAAAACACCUUGAAAUUUUGUCUUGCAAAUAUAUAGCUAAAGUCAACAGCUAUAAUCUUACAUAAGAUUAAGGAAAUAUAAAAAACUUACUUGGAUACACUGUUGGCAACUACUUCCUGUAAGCUGGCUGCUGUCAAAAUACCAGUUUCUUUUCUCUAGUGUCCUUUUAGUUCCCCAAAAAAUUGGCUGGGUGUGGUAGCUCACGCCUGUAAUCCUAGCACUUUGGGAGGCUGAGGUCAGGAGUUUGAGACCAGCCUGGCCAACAUGGCAAAACCCCAUCUCUACUAAAAAUACAAAAAUUAACUGAGUGUGGUGGCAUGUGCCUAUAGUUCCAGCUACUUGGGAGGCUGAGGCAGGA
rnacentral:lncRNA from 1 species